UACGGAGGGUGCAAGCGUUAUCCGGAUUCAUUGGGCUUAAAGGGCGCGUAGGCGGGACUGCAAGUCAGUGGUGAAAUCUCCGGGCUUAACCUGGAAACUGCCAUUGAUACUAUAGUUCUUGAAUUUUCUGGAGGUAAGCGGAAUAUGUCAUGUAGCGGUGAAAUGCUUAGAUAUGACAUAGAACACCAAUGGCGAAGGCAGCUUACUGCGGGAAUAUUGACACUGAGGCACGAAAGCGUGGGGAUCAAACAGG
rnacentral:rRNA from 1 species